rnacentral:rRNA from 1 species
UACGUAGGGUCCGAGCGUUGUCCGGAAUUACUGGGCGUAAAGAGCUCGUAGGUGGUUUGUCGCGUUGUUCGUGAAAACUCACAGCUCAACUGUGGGCGUGCGGGCGAUACGGGCAGACUUGAGUACUGCAGGGGGAGACUGAAUUCCUGGUGUAGCGGUGGAAUGCGCAGAUAUCAGGAGGAACACCGGUGGCGAAGGCGGGUCUCUGGGCCGAAAACUGACGCUGAGGGAGCGAAAAGCGUGGGGGAGAAACAGG